rnacentral:rRNA from 1 species
CUUGCUUCUCUUGAGAGCGGCGGACGGGUGAGUAAUGCCUAGGAAUCUGCCUGGUAGUGGGGGAUAACGUUCGGAAACGGACGCUAAUACCGCAUACGUCCUACGGGAGAAAGCAGGGGACCUUCGGGCCUUGCGCUAUCAGAUGAGCCUAGGUCGGAUUAGCUAGUUGGUGGGGUAAUGGCUCACCAAGGCGACGAUCCGUAACUGGUCUGAGAGGAUGAUCAGUCACACUGGAACUGAGACACGGUCCAGACUCCUACGGGAGGCAGCAGUGGGGAAUAUUGGACAAUGGGCGAAAGCCUGAUCCAGCCAUGCCGCGUGUGUGAAGAAGGUCUUCGGAUUGUAAAGCACUUUAAGUUGGGAGGAAGGGUUGUAGAUUAAUACUCUGCAAUUUUGACGUUACCGACAGAAUAAGCACCGGCUAACUCUGUGCCAGCAGCCGCGGUAAUACAGAGGGUGCAAGCGUUAAUCGGAAUUACUGGGCGUAAAGCGCGCGUAGGUGGUUUGUUAAGUUGGAUGUGAAAUCCCCGGGCUCAACCUGGGAACUGCAUUCAAAACUGACUGACUAGAGUAUGGUAGAGGGUGGUGGAAUUUCCUGUGUAGCGGUGAAAUGCGUAGAUAUAGGAAGGAACACCAGUGGCGAAGGCGACCACCUGGACUGAUACUGACACUGAGGUGCGAAAGCGUG